rnacentral:rRNA from 1 species
CCUACGGGGCGCAGCAGUGAGGAAUAUUGGUCAAUGGGCGGAAGCCUGAACCAGCCAAGUAGCGUGCGGGAUGAAGGCCCUACGGGUCGUAAACCGCUUUUGCACGGGGAUAACACCCUCCACUUGUGGAGGUCUGCAGGUACCGUGCGAAUAAGGGCCGGCUAAUUCCGUGCCAGCAGCCGCGGUAAUACGGAAGUCCCGAGCGUUAUCCGGAUUCAUUGGGCUUAAAGGGAGCGUAGGCGGGCGUUCAAGUCAGCUGUAAAAUCGCGCGGCUCAACCGCGCCCCGCAGUUGAAACUGGACGCAUUGAGUUCACAACAGGCAGGCGGAAUUCGGGGUGUAGCGGUGAAAUGCAUAGAGAUCACGAGGAACCCCGAUUGCGAAGGCAGCCUGCCGGGGUGCGACUGACGCUGAGGCUCGAAGGUGCGGGUAUCAAACAGGAUUAGAUACCCUUGUAGUC